GCCCGGCUGGCGCAAUCGGUAGCGCGCAAGACUUCUAAUUCUCCGAUUCGAGAUCAAAUUUGCAAUCUUGAGGCUGUGGGUUCGAGUCCCACGUUGGGCU